rnacentral:rRNA from 1 species
GACGAACGCUGGCGGCACGCUUAACACAUGCAAGUCGAACGAGAACCUCGGAGCUUGCUCCGAGGGGACAGUGGCGAACGGGUGAGUAACACGUAAGGAACCUGCCCCAGAGACCGGGAUAACACCGGGAAACCGGUGCUAAUACCGGAUGCCCUCAUCGUAUCGCAUGGUCCGAUGAGGAAAUGGAUUCCGCUCUGGGAUGGCCUCGCGGCCUAUCAGCUUGUUGGUGGGGUAACGGCCCACCAAGGCUUCGACGGGUAGCUGGUCUGAGAGGAUGUCCAGCCACACUGGGACUGAGACACGGCCCAGACUCCUACGGGAGGCAGCAGUAGGGAAUCUUGCGCAAUGAGCGAAAGCUUGACGCAGCGACGCCGCGUGCGGGAUGACGGCCCUCGGGUUGUAAACCGCUUUCAGCAGGGACGAAAUUGACGGUACCUGCAGAAGAAGCCCCGGCCAACUACGUGCCAGCAGCCGCAGUAACAC